GGCGUAGGCCGAGGUGGAGGGAGGCUCCUGAGAGAGCUUAGCAGGUGCAAGAUUGCUGUUGGCUGUUCACGUUGCAGCAGCAAAAUGCAGAGGCUGCAGGGAACUGGCGUGUCGGGUGCCGGAGGCCCUUCAGCGUCCUGACGUCUUCGCGUCCUCCGCAGGGGCGGUUUGCGUCCAGGGGCCAGAUCGUCUCAGCACAGAUCAUGAAGAUCCGUGGAGAAAGGCACCCAAAUCAGGUCAGAAUCAGGAGACCCCACAUCAUCCCUGAGAUCUUUAAGGUCAUCUCUUCUGAUUAUGCUUAGAGGGGUGAGGACGAAUCCAGCAGUCCUCGCAGAUGUACUGUACACACUCUUGCAGUCACGAAACCUACAGUGCCUGACAAAGGGGCAGCAGCAGGAGUGGCAGAGAUAACAAUAGGAGCCACAGCAGGUGCUGUGGAUACUCAGGACAGAUCGACUCAACACCGGCAGGAGCAGCCUUCAUGGAUCCAGGAGGAAGCAGAGCCGUCAUGCCCAGGGCGGGUGCUUCCGGCGUGUCCCCACUAUGAGGUGAGGACUUAACAUGUUUGUAAGCAAGUAAUUCCCUCACGUCAGCAGGAGCUGCCAGUCUCUCUCCAGAGGGCAGCAUGUGUAUGGUGCUCGCAGGAGCAGAGACGACUGACAAGCCUGUUUCAGAAACAGCUGAAGUUCCAGUAGCGGGACCCCUCAUCUCAAGUGUGCAGACUGAAAGCUGCAUUAUUAAACAGGAAGGAAGCCAGAAGGUCUCCAAACCAGUGCUGAAGCCUAGAAGGAAAGACAGGAAAAUGACAGAACUCCCGAGAGAGGGCAUUCCCGUCACCAUCGUGUCCACUGGAGAGGACAAAUCAACCCUAACAUCGUCCUUCUGCUGGUCUGUAGCCUGCUGUGGAACCACUAGGGGUGGAAAAGAAGGAAAAAGUCUGGAGCAGCCCAGGAAGCAGAGGACACCACUCCUUCUUCCAUGGGAAAGAAACACAUCAGCUUUAGCUCCACCGCAGAGGAGUCUGGGUUUUUAGAUUUUCCCUUUUUCACUGGAUUUAAGCUGUUUGAUUAUGGUGCGACUUUGUGUAGUUUUCUUCAGGAUACUUAUGCUGUGGGUUCGUUGAGCUUUUUAGAUCUGUGAGUUUGUACUAUUCAUCAAAUCUGGGAAGUUUUCAGCCAGAAUUUUUUCAAAAAAAUCUUAGCGCUAUCUCAAUACAAUGCACAACAGCUAAUCUACAAGCAAAGUCAAAGAUGGGUGGGCAAUGCUGAUGAAUACCAGGCAUUUAAUUUGCUCACUUAAGACGUAUCACUCAGACUGAUGCAACAAUGGUGAUUCAUCACGGUGAGCUGCAAAUCCUGAUUACUGACAGCCAUGGUCGGGGAAAAGCCAGAGACAGUGACUAAAGAAGCAGAUGAUUUAUGCUGCUUUGUUUUGAUAUUAAAAAGUGCAUUGCUUUCAGACCUAUUUUUUGAGCUGCUGUAUUGGUUUUAUAGUUUUCCUCCAAACUUCUGCACCCUUUACAGAAAACUGGGAGUUUUUGCAUCAUGAAAAGGGGUUUCUUGGGACACAUGACUUUCAUUACUAAAACCAGGCUAAUCCCAUACAAACUGGGAUGAUUUAUUGCCCCACGGCCAGCUCUCUUGAAGCCUUCCUGGAGAGCACCAAGGUCACCACAGCAUGUUUUCACCCACCGCCCCAAAGUAGAGCUGGUCCCACUAAGGUAAGCAUAUGGAUGUGGAUAGCAGGAAUCGGGGGCCUCACAGGCAGUGGGAGGAGAUCAGUAAAAGAAUCCAGUAAAGGAAGGAGAGAGAGAGAGAGAGAAGCAGCUAGACUAGACUCAAUGGUGAUGAAAUUUUGACCAUAGUAGUGGUUUCCAUUGUGAUUCUGAAAAUAUGAUGACCCUUUCUGUGGAAUUUAUUACUACAGUGACAAGGAAAACUGUCAAUAUCAAUUCCAUUCUCCAGCAGACUUGUAGCCUUCACAGACUUCUAGGAAAAAAAAAAAGAUUAAAAAAUUUUAAAAUAAAUGAAAAGAAUCUAUAUUUUUCAAGAACAAGAGACAGACAGAGUUUGAAUGGGAACAUCAAAAAGCAUCCAGAGAUUUGAAUCAUAUUUCCACCAAUGUUGGACAUAUAAACUGUUAUGGGUGACAAAGACUAUGCAAAUGUGAUAACAGGAGGCCAAAGACUAUAAUAAAAAAGGUCUGUCAGAAUUUACUGUUUGAGAUUGUCAAAACAUGGUAGAAACUCAUUGUACUGAAAUGUCUGUAAUUUUACUUUAAUUAAAAACAACCGUAUUACAAAGAUUGAUGAAGAGUAAGAAGAUGAAGUUACCAAUUUUCAGACCAAAGUCAACUGUGAUGAUUACAUUUCUAGCAAAGACCAUGGAACUUCAGAAGACACAGAGAAGGAAGAGACAGAAAAAAAAGACUUGGCACACAAGUGUGAAUAAUUACUAGAUCUCUGCUACUACAGUUAGCAAGGAAAGUAGAGCACACUCUGAAUUCUUGUAAGUGGUCUCAGGAAGUUCCAUGGAGAAAUCUAUUUUGACUAUGUCUUAAAAGUUAUAAAAUUGUGAAUCCAGGCAUCAAAAUGGUAACACUGUUCAUGGGAAACAGAUAAUAAUAUCAUGAAUUAAAUGUGAUAUGUAUUCAACUGAGUAUGAGGUUAAAGGGGAAAUUGGCUCUUUCAUAUUGACCCAGGCUGUGAUGCCUGGGAUGGCAGUGGAUGAGAACAGGUGAGAGGAAGGAAGGAAGGAAGGGAGGCAAGAAGGGAGGGGAAAAAUGUUUUUUAAAAAUGUUCAUUGUAGAUUACUUGAGAUAGACUAUGAAAACAAAGCAUUUGAAUAAUCUAAAAUAUGAAGGCCGUAGGAAAAAUGUAAAGAAAAUAUUGGAAGUGAAGAAACUUUCCAAGUGUUGGUUCUGAAAUCACUGAUAGCAAAAAAAAAAAGGUUGGAAAAUUUUGGAGACGAUGUGUUGGAUAAAAGGAGAAGCUUAGAGAGGGUGGGGGAAAAUAAAUGCUCUAAUCCAUUUGGAGCUUUCCAAACACAUCCAGCCGUGGGGUCAGGCAACUUACUCCCUGGAAGAUGUUCAUGUCCUCCAAAAUGGAAGAAAAAGAACUAGGGCAAAGCCAGAGAGAGAUUUGCCCCAAACUUCCCAGAAAUCAAACUUUCGGAAGAUGCUGCAGAAGCUCUGCUUUGGGUAAGAGGAUCAAUCCCAGAACAAACAUUACAACUUUUAAAGAGUUUUGAGUCUUUCAUUUAUUGCAGAAAUUUUUCUCCCUAUAGAAAUAAGAGUGAUAGGGAAACAAUCGCUAUUUACUCCAUCACUAUUCUAAAAUAUGUAAUAAGUUUUGCUUGAUAUGAAUUAUUUAGCCGUAUUGGACAAAUUAAAUAUAUGAAGCCUCCCUCAGUGGGUGAUGAGUGCCAAUGCUAAGCCAUGUCCCCCUGGGUGACUAUUGAGUAUGACUUCACCUAUUUUCUAGUUGCCACUCUAGACAACCAAGUCAGUCCUUGCAAGUGUAUGGGUCCACGGCAGGUGCAUUGGAUUGAGGAGGAAGUGGGAUUAGGAAAAUGCAGCAGCAUUUUGAGGGCAGGUUUACUUAGAUCAAGGAAAGAAGAGAGUCCCAACUGGCACUUGUUGAAUACAAAUAUUGCCAACAUGGUAUUUUAACUCAGAAUUGUCCCUGCCUGGGACAGACACCAGGGCAGAGUCAGGAAGUACAAGACUGGAAGUUGGAUGUUCAGGGUCGCCAUCUCAAGUCUGUCACUAGGACUAAGUUAUCCUCAGAAUGCCUCCUGACCUCAGUUUUCUCACAUGCAAAACGAGGGAUUGGGUUCAAUAUGUAAUGCAAUGCAACAUUAAUCAAAUGCCUUUUAUGCUCCAGGAAUUUUACCAGAAUAAGAAAUUGUUAGGAUUCCUACCAUUUUGGGACUCCUCCUAUGAUUCUGUGACAAGAAGAUGGACUGUUGUUUGUUGCUUUAUUCACUCAUUGGGUGGAAAGACUGUAAAUCUAGCUCCCCGUGCAUGCUACCAUUCUUUGGUUUCCAUGCUAUAGACUUUAAUUGCAGAGGAAGUGGUCCAGGAUAGGAAAAGGCAAUGUACUGGCCACUGCUGGUCAUGUGAAACAACUGGACCAAACCACAGGAGAGAAACAGGUCUGUCUUGAGGAGAGGGGCUUCUGUCCUUCCCCAUCCACACCUUGCCCUCCCAGUGUUCCCAGGUGAUCCUUCCCGGUGGGUCUCCUCAAAGGAAGGAGAAGGCAGGGACCCAGCAAGGAGGUCAGAGUCUGUAGAGAAGCGUGGCCCAGCAGAACAUCCAUUAAAUGAUGUUUGGCUUGCAAGUGAUCCACCAUUUUCCUUAAAGGGGGAUCCUCACCUUACAUCUGAUUAAGUGAUGAGCAUGGAAAGGAUGACUGGAGAAAAAUCAGAAGACUAUUUUUUCUAAACUUUUUUUUCAGACUAUUAUACAUUCUUAUUAUGGAAAUUGGGAAGAUUAGAAACACACAUAGAACAAAACAAAAACCAUCCAUGGAAAUUUUUUAAAACCCUCUAAUUCAUUCCAUUUUAUUUUUUCAAACCAUAAUUUACUUUAUAAAAUUUGGACAUUUAUAUAUUUUUAAUUUAAUACUUUCUGAAAUAUUCUUCCUUGAAAUUAAAUGCUUUUAGACAUUCAUAAUUCAUAUUACCAUUUAACAUCUCUGUUAAUAUUUUAAGUAAAAAAAUUUUAACUUUAUUUAAUCUAGUAUUUCCCAAACCUCUCCUAAUUAACCUCUGGGGAAACAGUGGAGAAUGUUUAAGAAAGUUUAAAUUAAAUUAUCUUUAAGUUAUCCCCUUAUUCUAAAAUGGGUUAUUUCCGUACUUUGCCUUCUUUCUAAUAAACUUAUUUUGAUAAUUUGUUCUUCUUUUGCUGCAGUGCACGUGGUGAGGUCCCACGUUUUGCUGUUGGACCUUUCACCUGCUCCAUUAUGGGAACCAGGUUCCUCCGGGCAGUAGAACCGAGAGUAAGAGCCCUAAAUCAUUCCUCGCUGAAGCCUCACUGAGGGGGGCUGAAGGAUGAGGGUCCAUGAGGGCUUCUCUUGUGCUGAGCAAAUAACAUCUUGUCCCCAACAGAAGGACUGAGAACCACACUCCGUUCAGUACCAAGAUGAAACCAAGAUUCCCAGCUGAAAUAACGCUACCAAACAAUGGUCCUUCCUUCGCGUUCCUACUCACCAAGCUUUCCGUCUCUUUUCUGUACAGAUCAUUUAACUCUUCUAGACAACCGUCUUACUCUUCCAGGUCACCAUCUUUCUCCACCAGGUCCCAACAAUGGACAAACUCAAAUGACAGCCUUCACAUCGCUCCAACCCACUUACUUUUAGAUUUUCCUUGCACCGUGAUGAAGAAAACAAUCACGGGAAUGCAGACCACGGUUAAAAUAAUACUCAAAAUUACCCACAUAAUAUUUCUGUUGAAGAAGGAAAAUAUUGACAUCAGUUCGGGUAAGUGGCAAUGUCUGUCAGUACACGUUCCAUUUCGAAAAAGAGCCAGUAUCUAGUUCAUGCUGACCUUAAAGCAUCUCACCAUUUCUCUGUGUCUUUUUUCUGAUAACAUUUAAAUUCUCCUCUCUUGUAGCCCCUGUCUACCAUAGAGGCGUAGGUUCAUCCUAAUCUCAUCACUCCACACACGCCUACACAGUUUUUAAAGCAACCAGUAAAAUAAUACAAAUCACUUCCCUGGUGUCCUACAGACAAAGCCAUCAUUUCAAUGAUUUUAAUGUAAUUCAACUGUUCAUUCUGUCAUUGCAUAAAUAUUAUGAAUAAAAGAACCUCUUAAGGAUAAAGGAAAAACUGCAACUUCUCUGUGCUUCCAGUCAAUUUGCUGUUGACAAUUAUUAUAUUCAUUAUCUAAAAAUCAGAUUCUGCUAAGAAACCUAAGCUCAAGAAAGAAUAUUGUGAAUUUUUAAUUUCGCGUCACACUUCACCUAGCAAAGAAAUGCUGGCAGCUCUAGUCCAAGUAGGAGCCUUGAACACCACAACUCAUUUUGGUGUUAGAAUGUUGCCUAAAAAGUACAGUGCAGAGACUCAAAAUGAUUUUCCUUUCUAUUAGAAAUUCAACAAUAUACAAGAAACACAGCUUUUAAAACACUUCUCAAGGCGACGCGAUGUAGUAAUAUAGAAACUACCCUGCCAACAGAAAUAGUUAUUUCCUCCUUCUGGUUGAGCCGGAGGUUGAGGAACAGAGUGCAGCUUUUUUAGUCUAGUUACUAGGACUGAAGAUGAAGUGGAGAACAGACUGUUUCCAUCUGUUCUGCUGUUUUCAGAGUGUGGCUUUAAAUUCUGUGUUAGGCAUCUCACCAGCUUGCCUCAGGCUCUGGGUACCACCUUGCAGCCUUACACACCAGAUGGUCCACUCUGGCAUCACUGUUCUUGAAGAGAACGCGCGGGGAACUUCAUAAUCCUGUGAAAUGUAAAGGGGACAAGGAGCUUAGUUAAGAAAUCAACAUCUAAAAAUUGUUUUGAUCCUAAGUUUUAGUAUGUUUAACCAAAUAGAAUGACUGUCUAUCUUUUGUGCAACUUAAGUAGGAAAAAAAAAAAGAUUCUGUGAAUGAUUUCAUCAGAAUGAUUACCCUAAGAGAUCAAAGGUAGCAGGAAAGGGCAAGAACAAGAUAUCUUGAAGGAAUGAGAUAUUAACAAAUAGUCAAGAAAGGAAGGUAAUAAGGAGAAGACAAGUGUUAGGACUUAUAGUACGCUCGGAGGCUUGUUGAAGGGCACAGUUCUGAUUAAGUCAUUACUCUCCCACAAAUGUUGAAUUGUCAAAGAGGAUUCAUAGCAAUCAUACACUUUACCUACCAAACUUUACCGUUAUUACUGAAAGAUAGAAAAAGUAAGGACAGAGUCAGCACCAUCCACCUCUGAAAUGGUUCAAAACCAUCAGACGUACUUUUCAAAAAAGUUAUUUUUCCACCAUGGGAUGUAUUUUGGUUUUAGAUUAAGAGAUGAGUGUUAACAAUGUGUAUAACACACGUGAUUUAAAAGUUAGUCUGAGGGAGUCAUUUUAGAUUCUUAGUUUUUACACUCCAUCAGUCACAUAAGUUGAGAAACUACAUGACUAACUUUCACUUUCCAGUUGAGCCCUAUAAACCAUAAACCCCAGUUUUACGUACAGUAAGCAAUGUAGAAGGACCAAGUAUACAGAGAAGCUGUUCACUCUUUCUUUCCAAGUUAUGCGCGGGUGGGUCAAUACUGCACCUGCCUUUUGUGGGACGUGCAUGAGUCGCAGCCCCAGCAGUGGCAGGGCAUUGAAUCUGCACAUGGAAGAUCAUCACCCAUUCCCUGGACACUCUGUUGUGCAUCGUGGAGCCUGGCUUCUCUCAGGACUCCUGAUGGAAGACAGUGACAGAUUUCUGAGCAUCUAUGAGACAGACCUUGGGCUCCAAUGUGAGUGUCUCUAGCCCUCUAGUCUAACUCUCUCCUGAUCUUAGAAUUAUUCAGUUUAGCCCUUCUUUUUAUACAUUUUCCAGGUCUGCAUCUCUGAUUCACCUUCAGGGCAUACAAUGCUAAGUAGGGAGCAAGGCUACAGGCAGCAGGAGAGAGUGUGAAUGAAGGAACGAGUACAUUGGAAACAGUAGACUGGUUCUUGGGAUGCUCUACUUGGAAUCGUGGUGGAGCUGCCCACUAAUCAGUGCCCAGUGGUUUGGCAGACUAAAAGUUACAAAAUAAGGAAUGAAUGUUGUCUUCUCAGAGGUGACUUCGUGUGAGUCUGUCUGUGUUAAUUCUUUUCCCUGCUCCAUCCGGAAGGCACGAAAUUUCACCUUGAAAUGCACAGGAGUGACCUCACAGUGGAUUCUGUGACAUCAAACAAGCUAAAGCCUGAGACCCUAGUCUCCAGUCAAGUGGAGCCCCACCUCACCCCCAUGCUCAAUGGAGCCAAGAGAAGUGCUUCAUCUUGCAUCAACCACUGCCUGCCUUUGGUUCCCCAAGGUUAUGGAGGAAAGUCAUCUCCUGUGGGCUGGGGAGCACCACAACCUUCUUCUCUUCUUGCUGUUCUUCUCUCUGAAGGCCCUGAAUGUAGAUACAGUACUAAGUCUGGUCUGUAGAUUAAGCAAGAACAGGACUCAUGUUUCCUCGGGAUAUUCAUUGGCGGGGAGGAGGGGAAUGGCAGUGUUUGUCAGGCUAUGGUCUAGACUUAGCAAUGUCACUUCUAAGUAUGUACCCCAGAGAAACUCUCACACAUCUGUUCCGGGAGACAACUAUAAGAAUGUAGCACAAUGUAAGAGCAAAACGUUGGAAAUAGCCCCAAAUGUCCAUCAACCGGGGAACUGAUAAAUUAUGGAAUAUGUAUACUGUGAGAUACAACGGGGGCAGCUAUGCACAUCGGCAUGGAUGAAUCUCACCUACGUUAAAGUCAAAACAGUCACAGAACACAUGCGCUUGAGCUCAAUGUACAAAACUGUUAAUCGCAAUACCAAACUAUGAAUUAUUUAGGGUAGAUAUUUGGCAAAAUUAGAAAAAAAGCAGAUAACCGUCAGGCGUAAAGGAGGGAGAUGUCAUCAGGGAAAUUUACUCAAGAGCUUCAAUAGUGUUGGCAAUUGUUCUAUUUCAUAAACAAGGUGGUGGGUACACAGAUGUUUAUUUUUGAAUAUAUUCACAUUUCUGAGAGCUGGAUGGUCUUAAGAUGUGGUUAUCAUUGUCAUGGAUAUAUCUUAACCAAUUUCUCUUAGUACAUUUUACUUUUUAUGUGUUCACAAGGGUGAAAAAUGUCAAAAUCAAAUCUGAAAGAUUUUUUUAAUGAGUAUAAAACAUUCAAAUA